AGAUCGAACAAUCAGACCAGUGCGGAAGAGAGGUUGACAGUGGCGUUGUAUAGGCUGCCCAGUAAAUGGGAGGGUUAUAUCAGUGGUCAGAGGUCGAAGGUGAUGACCUUAACCCUACAGACCAGUCCCAAGAUCUUGAUGAGCAUGUCGAACAGCAAGUCAGCUCUGUAAAAGGUCAUGGUGAGACUAAUAGACUGGAAGAGGCUGCCCCAGAAUCAGCUGGGCCAUCAUAUUCACAGCAGGCUGAUCAGAACUUAGCCAGCCUAUCUAGUGCCCAGAACACACCGCAGACCUCUACGCACAACCUGUCCUUGUUGGCCCAAAGAAGGCCCUCUUGCUUAGGCACGACGAGCACUAACACGCAGUGGAGCUUUCUGACUGAGAGUGUGCGUGGCAUGUUGUCAGCAGCGGUGGUCAAUGCCCCUGACCACAGCACGGGAGGGGAUUUGCCCAGGACACCAUCACUAUCCAGUUCCUCCUCCUGGUUUUCCAUCGGUAGCGAUGUAAUGGAACCAGCAUCCACCAGCAGCAGUGGCUCAUUCGUCUUUGAGAAUGAUCAUGUACCCGAUGGUGACUACAGAUGGACCCCAACACCCUCCCCCUCCCUCUCAUCGGAGGAGGAAGAUGAUGACAACCCAAGAGGACAUCCCAUCGUCCCUGAGAAUGGGGAUGGAGUCGAUUGGAAUAGACCCCUAUUAGAUCGCUGGCUGUCUGUAUUCGGACUUUCUCAGAUCUACAUCUUCAGUCAGGUACACAGAGAUGCCCGCAGGUGUCUGAGUGAACUCAUCAUACCCUCCUUCCAGAGAAAGAACAAUGAGAUGAGGACAAAUUCUCUGUCUGCGGACACCAGGCUGAUCAUGGCCAUUGUGGAGGUCAUCGUCCAGCAGAUAGAAUGCAGACUAACUCAGCUCGCGCUAAACGGAGAUGCUAGUUGGGGGCCUGAGGCUCUUUUAAUAACCAGCAGGCAGUUUGCUGAACAGCUGCUGGGAAGUGUAACAGCCACAUUGAAUGGUCACUGUCAAAGAUAUAUGGCGAUUAAUCGGUUGUCUGGAAAGACUGUUAUAAAUGUCAAGAGCAGUCUUGACCCAGCGCUUGGACCACUUGCAUGUCUGGUAAUCCUCGAAACCAUCACCAGCAUCCAGUGGGUUCUUAACGAGUAUCAGGCUAAUUAUGAGGCAGCAUCGAAUUCCAAUUAUAUGUACUUUUUGGCAGCAGUAGUGGCCGAAGUGGAGAGUAUGUUGUUCCAGAGACCAGGGCCGCAUACGUCACCCAGACAGUCAAACAGCGACCUGCUUGACCAGGCCCGGGCGAAUAUCACCAGGAAUGUCAAGAUGAAAUUAGCAGAGAUGACCCAGCUACGAUCCCAACAAAACACAUCAAUGUCUAGUGACUUGGUAGAUUUGCUGAACAACGACACCCAGGACAAGCAUGAAUAUCUAGACUACCAGAGCCCGAGCUGCAGUACUGGGAUUGAAGACCUAGACAUUGAUGUCAUGGCCAGGGAGAUGGUCCAGAAAGCUACAAACAAACUUAAGGAAUCCAUGUCAGAAUUUGACCUGGAGGGGGAAUCCACUACCAGUCAGGUCAGCAGUGGAACUUUUAAUUAUUCAAAUCUGUCUCACUCCAACUCUGACCUGGGGAUACUGUGUGUUCAGUCGACAGAGGCUGUCAGAACCGUACAGCAGAUUGCUAAGACAGAGCUUGAUAGUCACUCGGAUGAGUCCUUCGAUGCAAGCCAGACAACUAUGAACCAUCUCGCAUGUCUAGCAGCAGGAGUUGAGAGCACUGAUAAUCUGGAAAUUGGUGAGUUGCUCCAUGUCACUCCAAGGAACAUUGCCGAAGAGUCAACACAUAUUCUCAAAUCCCUUUUACUGGACUUGAACAAAGCAGUUGAGGAAAACAGGACUGAGGGGAACCGGUUCUUGGAGCAGGCUAAGUCAUCCUUGCAAACAUUGUACAGAACAGCUGUGGACCAGCUGAGCAAAAUAUUCACAGGGGGAAACCACACCGACGAACAAGACCAGCAGGAAGUGCCUACCAACAAUGACCCAACACUGGCAGUCAGCCAGGAGUCAGUCAGAUGCAAAGCCAAGCAGAUUCUCAGCAAUGUUCUGAAUGUGAUCGAGGCCGGUGUGACUGUCUCCGAACACUCAUCUGUGGAUGAGCAGCUGAUCAAUGAGUGCCAGGUUGCCACUGAGAUUUUGGACUCCAUACUGAACAAACUAAGAGAUGAUGAGUUUAACAAAGAGGACCGUGUUCAUGAGUUGUCAGUCAGUGAUACAUGCCAGGAUGUCUCACCUAAAACCACUCAGGUUUACAUGGUGGUGAGUUCCCAGGAUAUGUUAAAGGAUGAUGUCUCUACCGUGACCUCUGUGGAUGAUACUGUGCCCAGGCCAGAGAGUCUCUUGCAGGGCAUGGGUACCCACAGGUCAUACACCAGUCAGGGCUCCCGUGACCUUGACAAAGAGCUAAUGUCUAAGCUCCGUGUCAACCGCCCUGACACCACAUUGCCCAUAAGGUGCAGUCUGACAGCUAGUGCCGACGAUGAGACCUGCCAUAUCUCUUCCAGAAGGAAGAAAAAGAGCCAAGGCUGGAGUUUUGGCUGCUGCCUGAGGCUUCCAACAGUCAGGACCAAGGUGUUCAAGAAUAGAGUGGAACCAGAGGUCCUACCCGUUCUGAAUGAGCUGCCUUCGCAGCCUUUCGGCUUAGCUCAAGUUGCGCUUGAUCAUGACCACGGCAUCCCAUUCUGUCCCAAACCUGAGGAAGACCUGCCAACAGAACCUGCACAGAAGUCCCAGAAACGUCCCCUGUUGGUCAGGGCAUUCCGGGCCAUCUGCAAAGCCAUGUCCAAACCAUUCAGGGGCUGUGCUUUUAGGAAGAACUAUUAGAAAGUGUUUGCCGUCUACAUCUAAUAAGCAUUUUCACUCUCACAUUGUCUAUUCUGCAUUACCAUGCAGAGAUCUUUUGAACAUGAUUGAUUAGCUACAUUUUUAUACUUUCCACACCUUUGAUGGUUUGGUUAUAAUCAUUCAUGUAAAGUUCUAGUAUUAAUUACAUAAUUUCAACAUUUGCCAAAAUGGAGGGGACCAUGGCAAUUCAUCAUAAGCAGAAUAAUGUAAAAAUACAGGAAUGUUCCCAUUCCUAAUUAGGUUAAAAUAUUUCAGUAUCCAUAAUUCCAUAAUAUUUUGUAUUUUUUACAUUUUUUUUAUAUUUUGUAUAAUUUAUAUCGGUCUUGUCUGUCAUGUCUUGUCAUUCAUGUCAUACUCUAAACAUGUACACAAUGAUGCAAUCUUGAUAAAAACAGAAAUAAAUAAAGAUUGAUCAUAUUAGAGUGUAACACAUUCCAUCAAUGACAACAACAAAAAAAUGCAUCUGGACAUAGUGUUACAAUCUUUUGCACUAGAGGGUGGCCGUGUCUAUCUAUGCCAUACAGUUUCUAAAGUGGAGUUCCAGCAAAAUGGCGGCCUAGGCCCACAAGUUCACAGGCUAGUUAACAG
ensembl:lncRNA